AAUGGUGAUUAAAAGUAUAGGAGAUUAGGAGUAUACCAUCGUCAUACUCCUGCUAUUGUUUCGUUUUCUUUUUGUGGCACUGACUAUGAUAGUGAAAGAAAGAACCUUUUAGCCUUUUAGCAUCAGCAGAUCUGCUUGCUAGCAUCCGCCUAGAUCCUACAGGCUGAGCACAGGCCCACACCCGGCCGGAGCAGAAUAAUCCUCUGCAUUUAACCACCUGACCCAUGAAGCCUGCGCAAUCGAAUCUGCUGCAUUGAUCUUUUGUCGAUGCCAUCUUCCACCCUAGCAAUGUCCAUUUGCGGAGUCUGACUGUCUGAGUGGAGAUACGCAGCCGGCACACCCAUCGCUCGAUGGGCCAAAACGAUCACAUCGCAGGAUAACCGCGAACACUGCAUGACCUUGCAGGUGUAUGGACGAGGCGCAUUUUAUGCUGUGCCUGCUGAUCAGUGGAGUCCGACAAACUUCGAGCCCGAAUAAGUGGCUCGCACCGAAUACUCAUAUACUAAGGAUGGUUCAACCAGCGCCUAUGCCGCAUACCCCGAAAAAUAAUGUUCGCUGGCCUAUCACGCGGCGGGAGAAUACUUCUAGAUACAUUUUGUUCAAACAUUUCUUUACUUAAACAUGACUUGGGUCUGGGUAUAUUUGAAAAUGUCAACACAAUCCAAUUAAAAAGGUAUACAAUGGGUUUCAAUUCAUCUUUUCUAAACAAAUAUCAGUAUUGACUUCUGUAAAUGAUAGAACUGUAGAUCAACCAACAAUGUUUUUGGGAUCACUCAUAAGACCGAUUUUGAAACCCCAAAGGUAAAUUUGAUGUUGUUAAAUACCAGAAGCCAUAAGCCUUUAUGAGAAAUAAACAUACUCGUAAUACC